GGGCUGUAGCUCAGCGGUAGAGCAUCUGCCUUGUGUGCUGAAGGUCUCAGGUUCAAUCCCCAAUAGCAUCU